CUACGGGGGGGCAGCAGUGGGGAAUUUUUCGCAAUGGGGGGCAACCCUGACGAAGCAAUGCCGCCGUGAAUGAAGAAGGCCUUCGGGUUGUAAAGUUCUUUCGUGGAGGACGAAAAGGUGGGUGCUAAUAACGCCUGCUGUUGACGUGAAUCCAAGAAGAAGCACCGGCUAACUCCG
rnacentral:rRNA from 1 species